rnacentral:rRNA from 1 species
UACGUAGGUGGCAAGCGUUGUCCGGAUUUACUGGGCGUAAAGAGCGCGCAGGCGGUCGGAUAAGUCGAAUGUGAAAGCCCCCGGCUCAACUGGGGAGGGUCAUUCGAUACUGUUCGACUCGAAGGCAGGAGAGGGAAGUGGAAUUCCCGGUGUAGUGGUGAAAUGCGUAGAUAUCUGGAGGAACACCGGUGGCGAAGGCGGCGUUCUGGACUGCAACUGACACUGAGGAACGAAAGCCAGGGGAGCAAACGGG